UUCACCACAAAGAACCACCGUCUUGUGACCGUCUGCCACUGCUGGAAACGAACCGCCAUUGACGACUCUUCUUGAAUCUGGGCUUGUGUCGAACCGUCUUCAAUGAGCAUGUGCCGAACCUGUGAUCCUCUGCCCAUUUCAUCAUCACCACAACGACCCUGUGUCGAAUCUUGUGAAUCAACGGGUUUGGAAUAAUUGGUCGAUUGGUGGCUAGGGUCGCCUUGAAGAGAGUUGAUGUUGAGCUUGUUGCUGUCAACGACCCAUUUGUCUCUGUGGUGUACACGGUUUGUAAAUUUUAUUAUCUAAUUGCAUCCGUAGUAGAAUCGAGUUUUGGGGGGUUUUGAAUAUUAAACAGUGUAA
rnacentral:lncRNA from 1 species